rnacentral:lncRNA from 1 species
UGAAUUGGGUAGACUGCGGGUGGGCCGCGGGGCGUGGCUUCAGAGGGCGGGGGACCGGCGCCUGACAGCUUCAGGGAGGCAGGGCCCGGGGACGCGCUGCUCCAGUGAACUGUGACCUUGGAGAUGGAGGGACUCUCCGCGGAUACAGGAACAGAGCCCUUGGCAGAGAAAGAGGUGGACUGCCUGUCACCAGUGAGACCAAAUUGGGAUUUUUUUGUUCCGUUCUGCAUCUCUUUUCAAAAGACUCUCCCUGUCUCUAUCCUCGCCUGUUGCUGCCUCCCUCCCCCGGAUGGACCACAGUCGUCCCCUGGUAUUCAUGGGAAGAUCAAUUCCAGGAUACCAGUAGACACCAAAAUCCUAGGAUGCUCAAUUCUCUUAUAUAAGAUGUCAUAAUAUCUGUAGGUAACCGGGCUGGUGAAGUGGCUCAAGUGGUAGAGUGCCUGCCUAGCAAGCGUAAGGCCCUAAGUUCAAACCCCAGUGCCACCACACACACACACACACACACACACACACACACACACACACACACACACACACAAAUGUAUAUAACCUACCUACACACAUCCUUUAUAGAGCUCAGGCACUAUACCAUCUGAGCCACUGUGCCAGCCCUAUUUUGUGUUGGGUAUUUUGAAGAUAGGGCUUUGAGAACUAUUUGCCAGGGCUCGUUUUGCACUGUGAUUCUCCUGAUCUCUGCCUCCUGAGUAGCUAGACUUACACACCUGGCACACAUCCCUUAUAUUUUAAAUAAUCUCUAGAUGAGUUACUAUACCUAAUACGCUGUAAAUAAGGGUUAUACUGUAUUGUAAAGGCGAGAAAUUUGUGAAUAUUCAAUAUAAUGCUUUUUUUUUUUUUUUUUGAGAUAGGGUCUCUUUAUAUAGCCCAAGCUGGCCUAGAACUCAUGCGUCUCCUGCUUCAGCUUCUGGAGUGCUGGGAUCACAGAUAUGCACUACAAUGUCCAGUUUAGGAAAAAAAAUUAUAAAUAUUCUCAAUUUGUGGUUGGUUGAAUCUGAGCCUUCAGAUUGAAGGACUGGUGUUAUUUUGAAGCAUGUCCCAGACAUCAUUUCUUCCACACAUUUUGUACCUCCGUUUUUUUUGUUUUUGUUUUUGUUUUUUUGGCAGUACUGGGGUUUUUAACUCAGGGCCUCACACUUGCUAGCAGGCACUCUUACCACUUGAGUCACUCCACCAGCCCCUGAGGCCAACUCUGGUAAAAAAUGAGACCCUAUGUCAAAAAUACCUAUCACAAAAAAAGAGUAUAUAUAUGUAUAUACUCUUUUCUCAGGCUGGCCUGGAACUCAAGGUCCUCCUGCCUCAGUGUCUUGACUGCUGGGAUUACAAGCGUGCAUAUCAUGCCCAGCUACUAAUUUUUUUGAAACACUGGUUUCUUAGA